rnacentral:lncRNA from 1 species
AUGGCGCAGCCGGGCACGGGCACGCUCCUCGGGGCUGCCCGAGGCGGAGGCGGCGCUGCGGGGGGCUCCUCCAGCCGGGACAUCGGGCAGCGCCGCCCCCCAGCCUCCGGGAGAGCGCUCCCAAGGCCGUUCCUUCCUCAGGUACCUCUGGUGUCAAAAGGCACCGCCCGCCCGAACCCGAGAGCCGACAGGAGGGGCACUGUGUCACAGCAAAACCCGAGCUCGCGCCCCAGGGAGCGAGGCGCUCUGCCCGUAACGCCCCCCGCCUGCAGACGCUCGGCGGCAUGGAGCCACCCGGGCAAAACCCCCCCGAGGGAUUUGGGAAGGGCACAAACUUCGUCCCGCUUCCUCCCCCUGCCCUUCUAUCUGGGGGCAGCGGCCGGGGAGGGCUCCGAUCGCUGCCCGACGUGCUACGCCGGCUCUCACCCGAGACCGCAGAGGUUCAACACCAAACCUCGGCGUGCCGCUGGGCCCAGGGACGAGCUUGGUCGGCUCGGCCACGGAAAUCCCCGCGGCCGUAACAGAAAGGCUGCCGCUGGGCCAAACGCGGCUCAAAGAGGGUCUCGCCCUGCUGUUUCUCCAGGUCUAGGCGAAGCUCUCCCCGUUCGUUUCUCCCCAGGAGCACGGGAGCUGCCGCUGACCGAGGUUAAGGCCGGGGACGCUGCUGCCUCCUGCCUGCAGGAGCCUCAGAUCCGGGCACCACGGCAAGGGACGGGGAAGGACCGUGCCCUCCGGGGAAGGUGCUGCGGCUCCGACGCCGGGGAGCCAGGAGCCCAACCACGACCACGGCCCCGAGAAGACGACGUUGGCACGGGAGCCCCGCAGAAACGAGGCCGGAGAGGCUCUGCCAUCGCUCCGGCAGCUCGUGGAAGAAGAGGCGACGAAGCCAACGCGCCCCCAGCAGCUCCCCCCCCCAUCNNNNNNNNNNNNNNNNNNNNACAGCAAAACCCGAGCUCGCGCCCCAGGGAGCGAGGCGCUCUGCCCGUAACGCCCCCCGCCUGCAGACGCUCGGCGGCGUGGAGCCACCCGGGCAAAACCCCCCCGAGGGAUUUGGGAAGGGCACAAACUUCGUCCCGCUUCCUCCCCCUGCCCUUCUAUCUGGGGGCAGCGGCCGGGGAGGGCUCUGAUCGCUGCCCGACGUGCUGCGCCGGCUCUCACCCGAAACCGCAGAGGUUCAACACCAAACCUCGGCGUGCCGCUGGGCCCAGGGACGAGCUUGGUCGGCUCGGCCACGGAAAUCCCCGCGGCCCUAACAGAAAGGCUGCCGCUGGGCCAAACGCGGCUCAAAGAGGGUCUCGCCCGCUCACGCAGGGUCUCGCCCUGCUGUUUCUCCAGGUCCAAGUGAAGCUCUCCCCGUUCGUUUCUCCCCAGGAGCACGGGAGCUGCCGCUGA